AUUGAACGCUGGCGGCAUGCUUUACACAUGCAAGUCGAACGAGUGGCGAACGGGUGAGUAAUAUAUGGGAACGUACCGAGUAAUGGGGGAUAAUCAUUCGAAAGAUUGGUUAAUACCGCAUAUUACUCGAGCGGCCGAUAACUGAGUAGCUAGUUGGGGGGGUAAAGGCCUACUAAGGCGACGAUCAGUAGCGGGUCUGAGAGGACGAUCCGCCACACUGGUACUGAGACACGGCCCAGACUCCUACGGUAGGCAGCAGUGGGGAAUUUUGGACAAUGGGGGAAACCCUGAUCCAGCCAUGCCGCGUGUAUGAAGAAGGCCUUCGGGUUGUAAAGUACUUUUGUUAGGGAAGCGGUACCUAAAGAAUAAGCACCGGCUAACUACGUGUCAGCAGCCGCGGUAAUUC
rnacentral:rRNA from 1 species